GUCCACGCCGUAACGAUGUCGAUUGGAGGCUGUGUCCUUGAGACGUGGCUUCCGGAGCUAACGCGUUAAUCGACCGCCUGGGAGUACGGCCGCAAGGUUAACUCAAUGAAUUGACGGGCCCGCACAAGCGGUGGAGCAUGUGGUUUAAUUCGAUGCAACGCGAAGAACCUUACCUGGCCUUGACAUGUCUGGAAUCCUGCAGAGAUGCGGAGUGCCUUCGGGAAUCAGAACACAGGUGCUGCAUGGCUGUCGU
rnacentral:rRNA from 1 species